GACGUAGGGUGCAAGCGUUGUCCGGAAUUAUUGGGCGUAAAGAGCUCGUAGGUGGCCUGUCGCGUCGGCUGUGGAAACUCGGGGCUCAACUCCGAGCUUGCAGUCGAUACGGGCAGGCUAGAGUUCGGCAGGGGAGACUGGAAUUCCUGGUGUAGCGGUGAAAUGCGCAGAUAUCAGGAGGAACACCGGUGGCGAAGGCGGGUCUCUGGGACGUGACUGACGCUGAGACGCGAAAGCGUGGGGAGCAAACAGG
rnacentral:rRNA from 1 species